CCUACGGGAGGCAGCAGUGGGGAAUAUUGGACAAUGGGCGAAAGCCUGAUCCAGCAAUGCCGCGUGAGUGAUGAAGGCCUUCGGGUCGUAAAGCUCUUUUACCAGGGAUGAUAAUGACAGUACCUGGAGAAUAAGCUCCGGCUAACUCCGUGCCAGCAGCCGCGGUAAUACGGAGGGAGCUAGCGUUGUUCGGAAUUACUGGGCGUAAAGAGUACGUAGGCGGUUAUUCAAGUCAGAGGUGAAAGCCCGGGGCUCAACCCCGGAACUGCCUCUGAAACUAGAUAGCUAGAGUCUUGGAGAGGUUAGUGGAAUUCCGAGUGUAGAGGUGAAAUUCGUAGAUAUUCGGAAGAACACCAGUGGCGAAGGCGACUAACUGGACAAGUACUGACGCUGAGGUACGAAAGCGUGGGGAGCAAACAGGAUUAGAUACCCUGGUAGUCCACGCCGUAAACGAUGAUAACUAGUUGUUCGGUCACUUGGUGACUGAGUGACGCAGCUAACGCAUUAAGUUAUCCGCCUGGGGAGUACGGUCGCAAGNUAAAACUUAAAGGAAUUGACGG
rnacentral:rRNA from 1 species